AACGAACGCUGGCGGCAUGCCUAACACAUGCAAGUCGAACAAGACCUUCGGGUCUAGUGGCGCACGGGUGCGUAACACGUGGGAAUUUGCCUCGGGGUAUGGAAUAACUCAGGGAAACUUGAGCUAAUACCAUAUAAUGUCUUCGGACCAAAGAUUUAUCGCCCUGAGAUAAGCCCGCGUAGGAUUAGCUAGUUGGUGGGGUAAAGGCUCACCAAGGCGACGAUCCUUAGCUGGUCUGAGAGGAUGAUCAGCCACACUGGGACUGAGACACGGCCCAGACUCCUACGGGAGGGCAGCAGUGGGGAAUAUUGGACAAUGGGCGAAAGCCUGAUCCAGCAAUGCCGCGUGAGUGAUGAA
rnacentral:rRNA from 1 species